rnacentral:rRNA from 1 species
ACAUGCAAGUCGAGCGAAGCGCUUUGGAAAGAUUCUUCGGAUGAUUUCCUUUGUGACUGAGCGGCGGACGGGUGAGUAACGCGUGGGUAACCUGCCUCAUACAGGGGGAUAACAGUUAGAAAUGACUGCUAAUACCGCAUAAGACCACGGUACCGCAUGGUACAGUGGUAAAAACUCCGGUGGUAUGAGAUGGACCCGCGUCUGAUUAGGUAGUUGGUGGGGUAACGGCCUACCAAGCCGACGAUCAGUAGCCGACCUGAGAGGGUGACCGGCCACAUUGGGACUGAGACACGGCCCAGACUCCUACGGGAGGCAGCAGUGGGGAAUAUUGCACAAUGGAGGAAACUCUGAUGCAGCGACGCCGCGUGAAGGAUGAAGUAUUUCGGUAUGUAAACUUCUAUCAGCAGGGAAGAAAAUGACGGUACCUGACUAAGAAGCCCCGGCUAACUACGUGCCAGCAGCCACGGUAAUACGUAGGGGGCAAGCGUUAUCC